ensembl:snoRNA
UGAACCAAUGAUGAUGACAAGUGGCAUAUGGGUCAUGGAUGGUGAAUAAGAUGUGCCUGGAACUCUGAGGUCCAA